rnacentral:rRNA from 1 species
AGGACGAACGCUGGCGGCGUGCUUAACACAUGCAAGUCGAGCGGAAAGGCCCUUAGGGGUACUCGAGCGGCGAACGGGUGAGUAACACGUGAGCAACCUGCCCUUAGCUUCGGGAUAGCUCCGGGAAACCGGAAUUAAUACCGAAUACGACUACGGCCGACAUCGGCCAUGGUGGAAAGAAUUUCGGCUAAGGAUGGGCUCGCGGUCUAUCAGCUAGUUGGUGGGGUAACGCCCACCAAGGCGACGACGGAUA